rnacentral:rRNA from 1 species
UACGUAGGAGACGAGCGUUGUCCGGAGUUACUGGGCGUAAAGGGUGCGCAGGUGGCCGCGCGCGUGGGGAGUGAAAUCGCCUGGCUUAACUGGGCGGGGGCUUUCCAGACGGCGUGGCUUGAGCCACAGAGGGGGGCGUGGAAUUCCGGGUGGAGCGGUGAAAUGCGUAGAUAUCGUGAGGAACACCAGAGGCGAAGGCGGUUACCUGGACAGUUACUGACGCUCAGGCACGAAAGCAUGGGGAGCAAAAGGG